rnacentral:lncRNA from 1 species
CCUUAAGGUCCAAAACUAUCCCGAGGGCUUUAACGAACUUAUUCGUUUGAUUAAUUAACAUAUUAAUUAAUCCUUGCCAUAAAUAAAUGAUUAAACCAUUUAAUCAUUCUUACUCAUCUCCAUUGUUUCUUCAAUCUCCUCCUUACACGGUGUGCGAUCCAUUAGGUUCCUUUUAGCGAGGCAGUGGGCAAUUAAAACCAUUUUACAUCGAUUGUGAAUUGAAACUUACUUUCAAUUCUCCCUUUAGUGAUUACACACAUUUAGGGCUUCCACAAACCAUGAGUGACACCUUGCAGCAUAUCAUGGUUACCCAAGCUAAUCAGAAGAGGUAGAGAAAACCUAUUCAGUCUGGGAUUACAAAUGCAAUACGGUCUUUCUCUAAUCUAAUACUCCUGACCACAUUGUUUGGUUUGAUAGUUUAUUUAUUCAUGUCUACUAUCCAAUGUGAUUCGUGUGCUUAUAUGAUUUCCUUGAAUGUGAUUCGGAACGCAUUCCCAAAUCUCAUUCAUACUCUGGCCAGAGAUUCUAAAUCAUAUCAUAGAGUAUUCUCCCUCAAACGGUUUGAAGGUUAGAGAUCCCUUGUUGCGCAUUCACUUGCCUCCAUGACUAAGUGGCUUAACCCCAACGAUGUCGUGGACACCCCGAGGGGGAGACUUUGACAUAAUCAAAGAUCAAGUACUUAACCACAAGACAACUGUGAUGCCUCAGGUCAAAGGACUAAUUUGCAUUAUCCCAACCAUGAGUUCUCAUGUGACAUGAGUAUGAGAACUCUUCGUUGAUCGCGUUCAGUGAACUCAUUCUCUACUGAGCACCUACGUACUUGUCUUGAUGUCACACACACCAAUGACUCGAGACUAGUCACUCUCCCUGAAAGAAGACAUAGCACGUACCAAUCUUGACGGACUGUCAAUGCCCAAUUGGCAAUCCUAUGAUCAGGAACAUUUAGGAUGUGUCUACGAAAGAAUGGUCUCAUGAAUAUAACUUCAUUAGAUUACAUUCUCCCAAUCACAUAUUCCUUGGACUUUAUCGUUUAAGCAUAUAACAUUU